rnacentral:rRNA from 1 species
GACGAACGCUGGCGGCGUGCUUAACACAUGCAAGUCGAACGGAAAGGCCCUGCUUUUGUGGGGUGCUCGAGUGGCGAACGGGUGAGUAACACGUGAGUAACCUGCCCUUGACUUUGGGAUAACUUCAGGAAACUGGGGCUAAUACCGGAUAGGAGCUCCUGCUGCAUGGUGGGGGUUGGAAAGUUUCGGCGGUUGGGGAUGGACUCGCGGCUUAUCAGCUUGUUGGUGGGGUAGUGGCUUACCAAGGCUUUGACGGGUAGCCGGCCUGAGAGGGUGACCGGCCACAUGGGGACUAAGAUACGGCCCAGACUCCUACGGGAGGCAGCAGUGGGGAAUAUUGCACAAUGGGCGGAAGCCUGAUGCAGAAGCGCCGCGUGCGGGAUGACGGCCUUCGGGUUGUAAACCGCUUUCGCCUGUGACGAAGCGUGAGUGACGGUAAUGGGUAAAGAAGCACCGGCUAACUACGUG